rnacentral:lncRNA from 1 species
CCCUCCGCCAUCCAGCAGCGGGCCGUUCUCCCUAUUAUCUCCGGCCGUGACGUCAUUGCCCAGGCCCAGUCUGGUACUGGUAAAACAUCCAUGAUUGCUCUUGCGGUCUGUCAGAUUGCCGACACCAAGUCCUCCGAGUAAGAUUUUGCUGUAACUAUGAAUUUGAUUCAGGGAGAGUUUUGUAUUGUGCUUUUGUCUUAUUUGGUGUUCUGUGCAUCUCGUGCUGUUAUAGGAAUUGGAAUAGAUAGAGUUGAAAAAGUACUGGCUUUAUCGAUGACACUUAAUAUAUGCUUUUUUAGCAGGAGAUAUUGAUUACUUUGGCUUCAGGUUUGAUAUCAAGAUUAGUUGGAGUUAACAUAACACCCCUUGUAUUUGGAAAUCUUGGGCCGUUCGGCCUUUUAUAUAUAUAUAUAUAUAUAUAUAUAUAUAUAUAUNNNNNNNNNNNNNNNNNNNNNNNNNNNNNNNNNNNNNNNNNNNNNNNNNNNNGAGAGAGAGAGAGAGAGAGAGAGAGAGAAUGCACACGAUUGCACUAUUUGUUCUCUACUUUUUGUCAAUUGCUACCUCGUGGUGGCAAAUGGGACAAUUUUGAGCACCAUGUCACUCGAAUUAAGAAUUCAUCUUCGUAACACAAAAUCCGUAAAGAACUCUAAUUUAAGUGACUAAAACCCUGUUUGAAUAAGCUUUUUUGAGAUUAUAAGCUGGCUGGUCAUAUUAAAUGUGUCGUUAAAAAGUGGAUAAAAGUUGUGUGCACGCUGAAAUGUGUUGUUAAAAAUGAAGUUCGACCAUUUUAUAAUCUCAAAAAAGCUUGGUAAAAAAGUGGCUAAUUUAGCAACUUUUUGACCGAAAGGACACAAGUAGCCAAUUUUUUAUGAUGACCUAGUUUAUGUCAAAUGUAUUUUUAAGGUCUGUUAUGAACUUUAAAUAGUAGGGAAAACAAAAUAUAUGAUGAGAAAUUCACUUUAUAUCUUAGGGCCCGUUUGAUUAGAUGAAUUUUCAAUGGAAGGCUAAAUUUUCUUGGCAAUUGGUUUUCCUCGUUCACCCCCACGUGGUCAGGUUUUCCACCUUUUUGAGGAAUUGCGAUUCCCAUUGGUUUGGUGGGACAAAUGGGUUUUCCAGAUUUUUUUUUUGUUUAUUUUAUUUUUUGGUAAUGGAAAUGAAUUUUAUCCACAAUUGUAACAAAUUAUAUUCCUUUAAUUGAUAAUUUUCAUGGAAAAUAAAGCCAAACAAAUACCAAAAUUCCAAAAUUUCAACAUUUUUCAAGUGAAAAAUACCAAUCAAACACAUUUAAUUAAUAAUUUCAAGUAAAACAAGUUUUAGGCAAUUCAAUUCCUGGAAUUCUUUUUUUUUUUCCCACCCAAAUUCUAUUCUUGCAGUCAAACGAUUCUUAUUCUUUUUCCUUCUGGUUCAUUUGUAUUUUAACUCGUACUUACACUCAAUUAAUGAUAACUAUGUUAGCGACUGUAUAUUGAAUGUUUUCAUCUAUCUUUGGUUCGAUAAUUUUGUAUGAAUAUUUAAGAAGCCAGGCAAUUGAAUACUUGAAUUCAUGCUUCUUUUCCAAUUGAAAUCAGGGUCCAGGCCUUAAUAUUGUCACCUACAAGGGAGCUGGCUGCUCAAACAGAGAAAGUAAUAUUGGCCAUUGGUGACUAUAUAAACAUUCAGGCUCAUGCAUGCAUUGGGGGCAAAAGUGUGGGUGAGGAUAUUAGAAAACUGGAGCAUGGAGUUCAUGUGGUGUCGGGGACCCCAGGCAGAGUUUGUGACAUGAUCAAGAGGAGAACUCUGAGAACUAGAUCCAUCAAAUUAUUAAUUCUCGUGAGUUGAUUUUAUGAACUUAUUUUUAUUGUGAGGCAUAUUGGCUCAAUAUUUUAGGCCCCUUGUUAGAUCACAUAAGUAAUUCUGGACUCAUUUAAGUGUGUUUGAUUUGAUUUGAUUUUUAUUUUUAUUUUUAUUUUUUGUUUUGGAAUUUUGUCAGGAUGAAUCUGAUGAAAUGUUGAGCCGUGGAUUCAAGGAUCAGAUUUAUGAUGUUUACAGAUAUCUUCCACCAGAGCUUCAGGUGAUUCCCGUCUUCGUGUAUAUUUGUGUCCCUCACAUGUUAGGUCAGCUUAUAUAACUACAAGAUGAUGUUAUGAUCUUCUUUUUUUCCCCCCUCCCUUCUGUGUAUUUUUUUCCCCUUCUGUGUAUUUUGUGCCUCUCGAUUGAAUGGAGAAUUGAAGUUCAUGUUUUCCAUUUCGUUAUGUCACACCAAAUUAAAAGAAUAUCGUGCUUAAACUUCCAAAACUUAGAAUCUGAGGGACAUCCUAAUGAAUAAAUAAAAAACUUAUGCAUGUGUGCAGCAAGUCCUUGCUUUUGACUUUCUUAUUUUUAUAUAGAUUAUAGAUCUUAUAAUUAUUACUUUCGUAUAAAUAGAGCUUAAGAUGGUAGUAAAGAUUAAUUUUCUUAUCUUUGAUUGCUCCUAACAAAGUUUUAAAUAAGGCAAAUUAUCAGUGCAAAUCUUUACAUGUGCAUCAUUUUAUCAUAUUACAUGAGUAUAUUUUACUUUAAUGGAAAAUCCUCAUAAAUAGAUUAAAACUUUAAAAAGCUAUGGAUCUAGCUUAAAGAUCUGGAAGAAGUUUUUUAAGAUUAUUUUAGCUAAGAAACUUGAUAAAAGGAUUAAAAUUGAGUUUGAUAGAACAUAGUUUUACUGGUUCUGAAUUGAUUGGUUCAUGAUAUCCAUGUUUAUAAAUGCACAAUUGGAUGCUGAGGCAUUUUAGCUUUGUAAGGGACAAGCCAAUAAAAUAAUUCAAAAGAAAAAAAAGACAUAAAAUGCUUCAGGCAAUAAAACAAAUAGCCCAAAAGCUGAGGCCGGGUUAAAAAAUCCAGAAAAUAUGUGAAAAACGAGUGCACGCUACAGUUCCCUGAAGCUUAGCCUUGAUUGAAUGGAAGAAGCAUUUUGAUUCAAAUUCAAAUCAAUUUGCCCAAGUAUUUUGAAUCAGUAAUGGCUUGAUAAUGUGAUUUACUGUAUCAUUUCUAGCGGGCCUUCAUUUGUGGUGGGUUUUUGCAAAUUGGACCUGUGUUGUGCUGUUUUCCACUGCAGACUAUUUAUGGUGUAUAUUAUGAUUCAGGUUGUCUUGAUUUCUGCCACUCUUCCUAAUGAGAUCCUAGAGAUUACGAGCAAAUUCAUGACAGAUCCUGUCCGUAUCCUCGUAAAACGUGAUGAAUUGACACUGGAGGUGAACUUUUUUGAUAAUUAAAUAUCUUUCUCGAUCAUUUCAAUUUUUUCAGGGUGUGUGUUUUUUUUUUUUUUUUUUUUUUUGGGUUUUUUGGGGUGGCGGGGGUGGGGGUGGGCGUUGCUGUAUGCAAAAUGUAGAAGUUUCAGCCAAUUGAAAUAUUAACAGACAAAUAACACUUUCUAACAAAACAUCAGAAGCAAGGGAUGCUAUUCCUUUUUUCCCCCCCCUUUUCAAAUUGAAAGAAAGUUUGCUGAUUAUCUUUUAUAUUGUUACAGGGCAUUAAGCAAUUUUUUGUGGCAGUAGAAAGAGAAGAAUGGAAGUUUGAUACUCUAUGCGAUCUAUAUGAUACUCUUACAAUCACUCAGGCUGUAAUCUUUUGCAACACAAAGCGUAAGGUGGAAAACUUAUUUUUGUUUCCUUUUUCAGUGUUCCAUUUUCUUAGCAGCUCAUUUUUACACCUUCAUCAGUAAUUCGUGAUAUCCUCUCCUUUUCUCUUUCCCUAACUUCCCCCUGGGCUGGUGUUCUUUAAUUUGAUUUUAUUAUAUAACCUUUGUUUGAUCCCUAUUAUUUUCAAAAUGCAUUUUUCUUUCUUCUUUUCAACCAUAGAUUCUACAAUAAAAUAAUAUUGCACUCAAACCCAAAACUUUUCCUUGUUUAACUCCAUAUUUUCCAUCAAUCUACCAUUCCAAAAUGUGUUCUUAGCCAAAAUGGAGCUCAAGCAGGCGCAUACACUCCAGAAUUGAACAGCUUAAUACCUUUUUGCAUGAUUAUGCAAGUAAAUGAGGAAUAUCCUGCUUCUCUUUUUGUAUCAGAAGUACUAAUCUUUAGUACUAAAUAUAUUGCUAAUUGCCAUUCAGAAUUCUUAAGAUAUGUGAGUGACUUUAUGAUCUUCCCAUGUUACAUGGAGUUGGGCACAGGUCCUAAGGCUUUUAGCUUUACUGGGCUUCAAAUUUGAGGAUGAGGGACACUGCCAUAUCGUUUAUGUGAGAUAUUUGAUAUGGUUUUGUACAAAUUUAAUAGUUUUAAAGGAUGGGUACAAUGAAAAGAUAUAUCUUUUACUUGGAUUGUUGUGAAUUAAAGCAAAAGAUUUUGGUUACUUCAAAUAUAAAUUUGGGGUCAAAAUAUCACAUAUGAAUCACUAAAAGUUCAGACGGUCACAUCUUUACAAUUUUUUCAAAUAGAUCUGAAUCUGACCAUAUGAAGCCUGACUCCUUGGUUUGGGUCAGUUACAUUUUUCCAAUAUCUGCCCAACAAAUUUAC